rnacentral:rRNA from 12 species
UUUCCUAUGGGGGUAGAGCACUGGAUGGGCUAGGGGGUCGCGAGACCUACCAAACCUAACCAAACUCCGAAUACCAUAGAGACAAGUCCGGGAGACAGACGGCGGGUGCUAAGGUCCGUCGUCAAAAGGGAAACAGCCCUAACCUACAGCUAAGGUCCCCAAGUCAUAUCUAAGUGGGAAAGCAUGUGGGAAUCCCAAAACAACCAGGAGGUUGGCUUAGAAGCAGCCAUCCUUUAAAGAAAGCGUAAUAGCUCACUAGUCGAGUCGGCCUGCGCGGAAGAUGUAACGGGGCUAAAUUGGUAACCGAAGCUGCGGAUGCAUGCUUGCAUGCAUGGUAGAGGAGCGUUCUGUAAGCCGUUGAAGGUGAACCGGGAGGUUUGCUGGAGGUAUCAGAAGUGCGAAUGCUGACAUGAGUAACGAUAAAGGGGGUGAGAGGCCCCCUCGCCGAAAAUCCAAGGUUUCCUGCUCAACGCUAAUCGGAGCAGGGUGAGUCGGUCCCUAAGGCGAGGCAGAAAUGCGUAGUCGAUGGAAAACAGGUUAAUAUUCCUGUACCGGUUGUUACUGCGAUGGGAUGACGGAGAAGGUUAGGUUAGCCAACUGUUGGAUAUGUUGGUUUAAGUGUGUAGGCGUGCUUUAUAGGAAAAUCCGUAGAGCUAAGCUGAGGCAUGAUGACGAGUCUCAAUGGAGACGAAGUAACUGAUACCAGGCUUCCAGGAAAAGUCUCUAAGCUUCAGGUAACAAACGACCGUACCCCAAACCGACACAGGUGGUCAGGUAGAGAAUACCAAGGCGCUUGAGAGAACUGCGUUGAAGGAACUCGGCAAAUUGCACGCGUAACUUCGGAAGAAGCGUGACCCUUUUCUGCGCAAGCAGAUGAGGGUGGCACAGACCAGGGGGUAGCGACUGUUUAUCAAAAACACAGGGCUCUGCGAAGUCGUAAGACGACGUAUAGGGCCUGACGCCUGCCCGGUGCCGGAAGGUUAAGAGGAGAGGUGCAAGCUUUGAAUCGAAGCCCCGGUAAACGGCGGCCGUAACAAUAACGGUCCUAAGGUA